rnacentral:rRNA from 1 species
AUUGAACGCUGGCGGCAUGCCUUACACAUGCAAGUCGAACGGUAACAGGUCUUCGGAUGCUGACGAGUGGCGAACGGGUGAGUAAUACAUCGGAACGUGCCCGAGAGUGGGGAUAACGAGGCGAAAGCUUUGCUAAUACCGCAUACGAUCUCAGGAUGAAAGCAGGGGACCGCAAGGCCUUGCGCUCACGGAGCGGCCGAUGGCAGAUUAGGUAGUUGGUGGGAUAAAAGCUUACCAAGCCGACGAUCUGUAGCUGGUCUGAGAGGACGACCAGCCACACUGGGACUGAGACACGGCCCAGACUCCUACGGGAGGCAGCAGUGGGAAAUUUUGGACAAUGGGCGCAAGCCUGAUCCAGCCAUGCCGCGUGCAGGAUGAAGGCCUUCGGGUUGUAAACUGCUUUUGUACGGAACGAAAAGACUCUGGUUAAUACCUGGGGUCCAUGACGGUACCGUAAGAAUAAGCACCGGCUAACUACGUGCCAGCCGCCGCAGUAACAC